rnacentral:tRNA from 1 species
AGUUUGGAUAGAUUGUGGUAUUUGAAAUGGUUAAAAUUUCCAUUUUUGAAAAGAAAAGGCAAUUAUGAUUUAUUUGGAUCGAAUUCCUAAUAAAAACUA